rnacentral:misc_RNA from 1 species
CCCCGGGCUGAACGGAGCUCUUUUUCUUUUUUGUAAAAAAAGAAAAAAGCGGGAGUGGAGCACGGAUAAAGGC